GUCCACGCCGUAACGAUGGAUACUAGCUGUUGGGCGAACUUCAGUGGCUAAGCGAAAGUGAUAAGUAUCCCACCUGGGGAGGUACGUUCGCAAGAAUGAAACUCAAAGGAAUUGACGGGGCCCGGCACAAGCGGUGGAGCAUGUGGUUUAAUUCGAUGAUACGCGAGGAACCUUACCAAGGCUUAAAUGUAGAUUGACCGGUUUGGAAACAGACUUUUUCGCAAGACAAUUUUACAAGGUGCUGCAUGGUUGUCGU
rnacentral:rRNA from 1 species